rnacentral:lncRNA from 1 species
CAAGAGUCCAAAUUUCAAAGUUUCGUCUGAGACAAGCCUGCUUAUAACAAAAUUCAAACAGAGCUUACAUCCAAGGAUACAUACGUCUGAAACCUACAGGCCCAUGUACUCCGAUCCAUGCUCACAAAAACCAGCAUUCAACCCUCUCAUUCAACCUUUUAAGAGCAGGCUGACUUCUGGAUGAAACAAUCUCUAAUCUUAAAUGUGAUCUUGACACCCUCCAUUCUUGUUUGCUUCCCAUCCCAGACUCUGAUAAACAUGCUUUUAUUCUCUAUGCCCAUCCAUUUAAUUGUAUUGAUUUCAAGUUUAAUUGCUCUCAAAAAGUAUUUACAAAAAAUAUUUGUUUCUCUGUGCCUGGUUUAUUUUCCUUAACAUAAUAAUCUUCAGUUUUGUUCAUGUUGUUGCAAAUGACUGAGUCUUAUUGUUUUUUAUGGCUGACUCUAUUGUUUACAUGUACCACAUUUUCUUUGUCAGUUCAUCUGCUGAUGACCACAGGUUGCUCUCAAAUUUUAGCUAUUAUUGCAUAUCAUGCUGCAAUAAACACAGAAGUGCAGACCUCUAUUUUAUAUACUUUUUUUUCUUUUGGAUAUAUACUUAGAAGUGGGAUUUCUGGGUCAUAUGAUAGCUUAUUUUUAG